rnacentral:rRNA from 1 species
GACGAACGCUGGCGGCGUGCCUAAUACAUGCAAGUCGAGCGAAGCGGCGGAUGGGUGAGUAACGCUUGGGUAACCUGCCCUUAAGUCUGGGAUACCAUUUGGAAACAGAUGCUAAUACCGGAUACUAAAGGAUGGUCAUGCGAUGCUUUAGCUAGUUGGUAAGGUAACGGCUUACCAAGGCGAUGAUGCAUAGCCGGGUGGAGAGAGGUAGCGGACACAGUGGGACUGAGACACGGCACAAACUCCUACGGGAGGCAGCAGUAGGGAAUCUUCCACAAUGGACGAAAGUCUGAGGGAGCAACGCGGCGUGAGUGAAGAAGGUUUUCGGAUCGUAAAGCGCUGUUGUUGGUAAAGCGGUAAUCAACCAGAAAGUCACGGCUAACUACGUGCAAGCAGCCGCGGUAAUAC